AACAACCGUGAUUCCGGGAGUAGUGGCGAGCGAAACUGGAUGAGGCUAAACCGUAUACGUGUGAGACCCGGCAGGGGUUGCGUAUGCGGGGUUGUGGGAUCUCUCUUCUGUUGUCUGCCGGCAACAGGACGAGUCAGAAACCGUUGAUGUAGGCGAAGGACAUGCGAAAGGUCCGGCGUAGAGGGUAAGACCCCCGUAGUCGAAACAUCAGCGGCUCGUUUGAGAGACACCCAAGUAGCACGGGGCCCGAGAAAUCCCGUGUGAAUCUGGCGGGACCACCCGCUAAGCCUAAAUAUUCCCUGGUGACCGAUAGCGGAUAGUACCGUGA
rnacentral:rRNA from 1 species